rnacentral:rRNA from 1 species
UACAGAGGGUGCGAGCGUUAUUCGAAAUUAUUGGGCGUAAAGCGCGCGUAGGUGGUGAGGUAAGUCCUGUGUGAAAGCCUCGGGCUCAACCCGAGAAGGUCAUGGGAAACUGCCUUGCUAGAGUACAAGAGGGGAGAGCGGAAUUCCCAGUGUAGUGGUGAAAUACGUAGAUAUUGGGAGGAACACCGGUGGCGAAAGCGGCUCUCUGGCUUGUCACUGACACUCUGGCGCGAAAGCGUGGGGAUCAAACAGG